rnacentral:rRNA from 1 species
GGAGUUUGGACCGUGUCUCAGUUCCAAUGUGGGGGACCUUCCUCUCAGAACCCCUACCGAUCGAUGGCUCGGUGGGCCGUUGCCCCGCCGACUACCUAAUCGGACGCAUCCCCAUCCCUUAGCGGUAAACCUUUGCUUCAUUUCAGAUGCCAUCUACGAAGAACAUAGGGUCUUAAUCCGAUUUUCAUCGGGCUAUGCCCUACUAAGGGGAAGGUUGGAUACGCGUUACUCACCCGUGCGCCGGUCGCCGACAAGGUUAGCAAGCUAACCUCUCGAUGCCCCUCGACUUGCAUGUGUUAAGCCUGUAGCUAGCGUUCAUC